rnacentral:rRNA from 1 species
AUUGAACGCUGGCGGCAUGCCUUACACAUGCAAGUCGAACGGUAACGGGCCUUCGGGUGCCGACGAGUGGCGAACGGGUGAGUAAUGCAUCGGAACGUACCUCUCAGUGGGGGAUAACGUAGCGAAAGUUACGCUAAUACCGCAUAUUCUGUGCGCAGGAAAGCAGGGGAUCGCAAGACCUUGCGCUGAUUGAGCGGCCGAUGUCUGAUUAGCUAGUUGGUGAGGUAAAGGCUCACCAAGGCGACGAUCUGUAGCGGGUCUGAGAGGAUGAUCCGCCACACUGGAGCGUAGGCGCGGUCCAGACUCCUACGGGAGGCAGCAGUGGGGAAUUUUGGACGAUGGGGGCAACCCUUAUCCAGCCAUGCCGGGUGAGUGAAGAGGGCCUUCGGGUUGUAAAGCUCUUUCGGCCGGGAAGAAAUCGCAUGGGUUAAUACCCUGUGCGGAUGACGGUACCGGCAUAAGAAGCACCGGCUAACUACGUGCCAGCAGCCGCCGUAACAC